rnacentral:rRNA from 1 species
ACGAACGCUGGCGGCGUGCUUCACACAUGCCAGUCGAACGGAAAGGCCCUGCUUUUGUGGGGUGCUCGAGUGGCGAACGGGUGAGUAACACGUGAGUAACCUGCCCUUGACUUUGAGAUAACUUCAGGAAACUGGGGCUAAUACCGGAUAGGAGCUCCUGCUGCAUGGUGGGGGUUGGAAAGUUUCGGCGGUUGGGGAUGGACUCGCGGCUUAUCAGCUUGUUGGUGGGGUAGUGGCUUACCAAGGCUUUGACGGGUAGCCGGCCUGAGAGGGUGACCGGCCACAUUGGGACUGAGAUACGGCCCAGACUCCUACGGGAGGCAGCAGUGGGGAAUAUUGCACAAUGGGCGGAAGCCUGAUGCAGCAACGCCGCGUGCGGGAUGACGGCCUUCGGGUUGUAAACCGCUUUCGCCUGUGACGAAGCGUGAGUGACGGUAAUGGGUAAAGAAGCACCGGCUAACUACGUG